rnacentral:lncRNA from 1 species
UGGAGAUAAUGAAAAUAUUCUAAAAGUGAUCGUGGUGAUGGAUACACAACUCUGUGAAUAUACUAAAAGCUAUUGAAUUGAAUACUUCAAAUGUUGAGUUGUAUGGCAUGCGAAUCGUAUUUCAAUAAAGCUGUUUUAAAAAAGGCUAAAGUUAACAGUCCCGUAGAGGAAAAAGUAUUUAGUGCAGGGUGAAGAAGGCUGGAUGCCAUGAAUUGGGAGGGGAAGGGAGAUGACCUCUGCUGUUUGUGAGGUCAGAAACUAGGGUGAGGCUGCCUUGGCCACAGAUGGUGGUGGCGUAUGGUUCUGAGGUAAGUAGACACGUUUUUAGUUCCCUAAUAGUUCUUUCCCCUGGCUUCCCAGGCUUCCUACCCUGCUUCUUCACCACCUCCCACUUUGCAGAUCAUCUCUAGCAUCAUCCAAAUCUGACUUAGGCAGUUCCCUACUUAAAAUCCUCCUGGGGACUCUUGCUGCUUUCGGGAUAAGGCCCAAAUCUUCACACUCCUUUGCCGGCCUAUGAAGCGCCUUGUGGUGUUGCCCUCCCACGCCUCUGCUUUUGUCUCCCACAUGUAUCCACAGCCACACUGGUUUGUUGUCUCACACCUCUGCUUCUCCCAGGGUGCUGAAAUUCCUGCCUGGAAUGCCCUCCCCCUUGCCUGACUUCCUAAUCCACCCACCAUUCAGUGUGGCUCAAAUAUCACCUCCUCCAGGAAGAUUUGGACUUGUCCAGGCUGGGCUAAAGGUCGUCCCUCUUUUGUGUUCCUAGCACGCUUUUAUGUACAUUCUGGCUGUCUAAUCUAUGCACUUGUUAUUACCCGCUUCUAAUUGUGUUAGUUUCAACUCUUAGUCUGAAUUCUUACUACUUGACCUUGGCCAAGUUACUUAACCUCUCAAUAUACUGAUCAAAAAGGGGAUUAAAAACAAUAUCUUCUUCCUAAAUGUGCUGUGAAGAUUAAAGUUAUUAAAAAUAUGAAAAAAUGUGUUAAAGCCAUAUAUAAUAUACUGUAUAUAUUAUAUAUUAAAAAUAUAUGUUCAAAUGCUUUGCACAAUGUCUUGCACAGUGUAAGCACUACAUAAAUGAAGAUUUU